rnacentral:rRNA from 1 species
GAUGAACGCUGGCGGCGUGCCUAAUACAUGCAAGUCGAGCGAACAGACGAGGAGCUUGCUCCUCUGACGUUAGCGGCGGACGGGUGAGUAACACGUGGAUAACCUACCUAUAGGACUGGGAUAACUUCGGGAAACCGGAGCUAAUACCGGAUAAUAUAUUGAACCGCAUGGUUCAAUAGUGAAAGACGGUUUUGCUGUCACUUAUAGAUGGAUCCGCGCCGCAUUAGCUAGUUGGUAAGGUAACGGCUUACCAAGGCGACGAUGCGUAGCCGACCUGAGAGGGUGAUCGGCCACACUGGAACUGAGACACGGUCCAGACACCUACGGGAGGCAGCAGUAGGGAAUCUUCCGCAAUGGGCGAAAGCUUGACGGAGCAACGCCGCGUGAGUGAUGAAGGUCUUCGGAUCGUAAAACUCUGUUAUUAGGGAAGAAAAAAUGUGUAAGUAACUAUGCACGUCUUGACGGUACCUAAUCAGAAAGCCACGGCUAACUACGUG